GCCCAGUGAACAAUUAAACGGCCGCGGUACCCUAACCGUGCAAAGGUAGCAUAAUCAUUUGUCUAUUAACUGUAGACCUGUAUGAAAGGCAAAAUGAGGGUUUAACUGUCUCUUAUAAUAAAUCUAUUAAACUGAUCCCCCAGUAAAAAAGCUGGGAUACUCCCAUAAGACCAGAAGACCCUGUGAAGCUUUAACUAAACUAUUAAACUAAAUAAUAACUACUUUAGGUUGGGGCGACCUUGGAAAUAAAAAGAACUUCCAACAUAACAAAUAAUCAUUAAGGCCCACAAGCCAAUUAACGACCCAGUAAUACUGAUAAUUGAACUAAGUUACUCCAGGGAUAACAGCGCCAUCUUCUUCAAGAGCCCAUAUCAAAAAGAAGGUUUACGACCUCGAUGUUGGAUCAGGACACCCCAAUGGUGCAACCGCUAUUAAAGGUUCGUUUGUUCAACGAUUAAUGUCCUACGUG
rnacentral:rRNA from 1 species